CAACUCUGGUGUGACACAGCAAGGUCCAUAGACUUGUAUGGGAACUUAUUACUAUAAAAGAAGGGUGUAUUGCCAUGGGACUUUGGGUUCAUUCUGCAUCAACAUUGGAGCUUCAGACACAUCCGACAGAGACCCAGCUUCAGCUUCUCCCCUCCCUCGUGUGCAGUUUCAGCUGGCCACUGGAACUGACAGAGCAACACUAAGGACUGUGCAUAUAAUCAGCUCAGCUAUACAUACCAAGGUCCAACCGGUGUUGUUAAAACAAGGGGAACAGAAAUGGAAAAUGCAUUUAGCUGUUCUGGCCUCCUGGAGAACAACUGGACAUUUCAGAAGCUAACAGAGUACUGCUGGAGAAACUGCAGCAAAGCUGGCCAUGGGAUGCACUGCAAAUGGAAAAAUGGAAAGCGACUUGCAGAGAAAUUUGGGUUGCUGCUAGCGUAACAAGAAAAGACUAUAGUCAUGUCUGUCCUUCACUUCAUCUGUGUUCAGUGUCAACUCCUGCUGUGAAUAGCAAGUGAGCUGAAAGCUGACAUCUUGAAUGGAGAUCUGGUGAUGAGAAACACAGAGACUUUUUCUUGGGUGGGGAUGACUAAAAUCAGUCAGCCGACCUCUUCCUGAAACUGGGUACCCAGUUAGUAAGGAAGUGUACAUACUUGUUUAUGUGAUUUAAAGAUUAACACAGAGUUAAAGUGUGUGUCCUUGUUUUGUAACAGGAUCCAAUCGAGUUUGUGUAAAGUAGCUUUAAAACUGAACAAUUAAUUUACUGUUGUUAACUAAGAUUGUAGAACAUUGUGGAGUUCUCUAUGAUAAUUAUAAUUAAUGGUUUCAUACUGCUUUUCAAGUUCUAAGUGUAUACAGACAUAAAAUGAGACCAAGUGUGCAAGCUUCUGUACUGCACUUAGUUUGUACAGUCUGCCAUAAAUGUAAGUGCAUGUUAAAUAGCUAGGAGUGUUAGUUAGAUCCUGGGGCUAAUAUAAUUAAUUGGGAAAUAACUGUAAAACAUUGACUACUAAUAUAGAUGCCUUGGGCAGGAGAUCUUGGUGAAUUAACAUGUAUGUAAUUGAUCAAAAUGUCUUGUGAUCUAGCUUUGAAUUAUUUUCCUUCUAUUGUGUUAGCAACACUGCUGUGUUAGCAACACAGUAACACCUGAUGACACAAGUGAGGUCCUAUUUUGAUGUACUGUUAGUCAAAACUCCUCUAAACAAAGUUACCUUCCAAAGAUAGAGAUUGUGUAUAAGUGUUGUUUUCUAUUGUCAUUCUAUGAUUUGAUUCUGAAAACUUGGUAUCAACCAAUUUUCUAAUUUAUGUGAACCAAAUCAUAGUUCACUACUGUUUUUUCUUCUUAUAGCCUAUACUAUUAGUUGCUGCUGUUAAGGGUAAUUAAUAAAACUCUAUAAAACUAAA